rnacentral:rRNA from 1 species
UACGUAGGGUGCAAGCGUUGUCCGGAAUUAUUGGGCGUAAAGCGUGCGCAGGCGGUUAUGCAAGACAGAUGUGAAAUCCCCGGGCUUAACCUGGGAACUGCAUUUGUGACUGCAUAGCUGGAGUGCGGCAGAGGGGGAUGGAAUUCCGCGUGUAGCAGUGAAAUGCGUAGAUAUGCGGAGGAACACCGAUGGCGAAGGCAAUCCCCUGGGCCUGCACUGACGCUCAUGCACGAAAGCGUGGGGAGCAAACAGG